rnacentral:rRNA from 1 species
AGUGAACGCUGGCGGUAGGCCUAACACAUGCAAGUCGAACGGCAGCACAGUAAGAGCUUGCUCUUACGGGUGGCGAGUGGCGGACGGGUGAGGAAUACAUCGGAAUCUACUUUUUCGUGGGGGAUAACGUAGGGAAACUUACGCUAAUACCGCAUACGACCUACGGGUGAAAGCAGGGGAUCUUCGGACCUUGCGCGAUUGAAUGAGCCGAUGUCGGAUUAGCUAGUUGGCGGGGUAAAGGCCCACCAAGGCGACGAUCCGUAGCUGGUCUGAGAGGAUGAUCAGCCACACGGGAACUGAGACACGGUCCAGACUCCUACGGGAGGCAGCAGUGGGGAAUAUUAGACAAUGGGCGCAAGGCUGAUCCAGCCAUACCGCGUGAGUGAAGAAGGACUUCGGGUUGUAAAGCCCUUUUGUUGGGAAAGAAAAGCAGCAGGUUAAUACCCCGAUGUUCUGACGGUACCCAAAGAAUAAGCACCGGCUAACUUCGUG